AAUAAGGGAGUAUAAUUUUAAUCUCAAAAUUCAUCUACCCAAUGAUUAUCAUCAGCUUCAGCUGCGCCGUCAGAUUUACCGAUUAUCAACUUCAGCUAAGCCAUCAGAUUCAGCAGCUUCAAACGAUUAUCAGAAGCUAAUCCUAAUUGUUAUCACCAACUCAGAUUUCUUAUGAUUUUUGGUUUCUCUUCAUCUGCUCAUUUUUCUCUACAUUUGAGGUUAACUUUUCUCUUAAUUUUCUCCAUAAUCUUCUUCUGAUUCUCUUCAAAUUUUUCAAGAUUGCUGUCACAAUUAUUUUGAUUUCGUUAGGAAAAUACAACAAUAAUAUACUCAGUGCAUUCCCACCUAGUGGGUCUGGGAAGGGUGGAGUGUACGCAGCUAGCUCAAGAGAAGUAGAGAGUCUAUUUUUGAUAGCUCCGGUUUAGACCAAUAACAGUAUAACAAAUAUAAAAUGUAAGUAGAUACAAACUAAUAUGGUACACAAAAUAAAUUAAUAGUAUAACAAACACAAAAGAUAAGUGCAUAAUAAACUAGUACGGAAUGAAAAAAACCACACCACUAACCCCAGAAACUACAGCCCCAAUACUACGAACCAAAAACUCCAGACCCAAAAGAGCACUCCCCUAUUAUUGCACUCUCCUAUUACUACUGCCGCGCUCCCACCGCCUAGCCCUCUACGCUAAUCCACGUACUCUACACCUUCAAGGGUCAUGUCCUCUGUAAGCUGUAAUUGCUCCAUAUCAUGCCUAAUCAACUCUCUCCAAUAUUUGUUCGAUCUACCUCUAGCCCGCCUAAAACCAUCCAGUCUCACACCUCCGCACUGGAGCAUGAGGCCCUCGUCAUAUUUAGGGAACCGCAGUGAUGAAUCCAGGGUUGCUUUUGAUGUCAGUGAUGGGCCUACUAUUCCCCACUGUCCUCCAUGUUACACACACUGAGUUGGAAUUUGGGAAGUCGGAGCUGGCGCUUUCCAGAUUUGGCAGCUGCGUAAUGCUUGUUGCAUACGGUGCAUACCUGUAUUAUCAGCUGACCACUCAAAAUAAUCUUUACAUGCCAAUUGCUGAGAUUGGGAUUCCUUAUUCUGCACACUUUUUUGGAAUGUAUGAAGUACUUUGUACAUUCUAUCAAUGAGGAAACCACAAAAUCCCACAACUGUUAAGUUCCCUCUGCAAACCAUCCUUUAUCCCUCGCAAGCUAGGCUGAUCAAUACAUACAGUAGCUACAUUACUCUUCCAUCGAGUUUGGUUCGAGCUUUCUAAAUGUUUGGUAAAAAUUCAGGAACAGGGUGCGAAUGACGAGAUCCUAGAAGAGGAAGAAACUCCUGAGAUUUCAAAAUGGGGGUCAAUCAUAUGGCUUUCGAUUUUGACAAUAUGGAUUGCUGUCUUGUCACAACACCUGGUUAAUGCCAUAGAGGGGGCAUCAGAUGCUUUGGGUAUUCCUGUUGCAUUUAUAAGUGUCAUACUGCUGCCGAUAGUUGGAAAUGCAGCCGAGCAUGCUGGUGCUAUCAUGUUUGCGAUAAAGACAAGCUUGACAUCUCUUUGGGAGUGGCAAUAGGCUCAUCAACGCAGAUUGCCAUGUUUGGGAUCCCCUUCUGCGUGGUGAUUGGAUGGAUUAUGGGUCGUCCUAUGAAUUUGAACUUCCAAAUGUUUGAAACAGCAACGCUUUUCAUGAGUGUCCUCGUAGUAGCAUUCAUGGUGCAGAGGACAAACCCCAAAAGCCAUAGUAGUUAAAUGUUGUGGUUUCAGACGUUGACAUGCUAAAGCUGAAAGGCCAGUAUACAAUUCAAGUUGCAUACAAAAAAGAGCCAUUUCUUCAAGUUUUGGCCAUUCUGAGCUGUAGGUAUUGCUAACAAUUCAUCUGUUGAUGAUGCUCAGAGUUGUGUAUUACUACCAUCUGUUUAGUUGAGAAGUAUAUGUUGUUUUAUCAGUUUUGUAUGGUAGUUGGUGAUUUACUUCUUUUGCGUCGAAAAUGGCCGGAUAGUAAAUAAUUUUUUGUGUUCAUAUAUUGCUCUUAGGAUCUUUUUUUUUUCCUUGUCAAAAGCAGAAUAUAUUAGUUUUGUCAUCUGCUAUCAUAGAUGAUGUGUCAUCAAAGUUCAAUCAUUCAUUGAUGAAUUUGUAUAUCCAAAUGUAAGUUUUUUGCUUUUGUAAUUUCACCAAAAAAUAGAAGGGAAAGUGUUGUAUAUUUAGCCAAUUUUUUAACAAGAAAGUUGGGUACUCUUUGCAGCUACUUCUGCCAA